rnacentral:rRNA from 1 species
AAGUCGUAACAAGGUUUCCUCUAUAGAAUCCCUAUUGAAGCCUUGAACCUAAAGUCUAUUUUAUAGGCAACAUCUUUACUGUGCUUGGAGACCUUGAAGGUAACAAGCAGCUGUUAAACCAGCUCACAGAUCAAACAAAGGUGGUUCUCUAGCCCUCACGCUGUUGAAUUAAAAUAUGACCGGCCCACUGUUGGAAAAACAGUAAUUACUGUGUUCCGUAGGUGAACCUGCGGAAGGAUCAUUACAGAGAAAAUGCCCUUCGGGGUAUAUCUCCCACCCUUUGUUUACAAUACUUUGUUGCUUUGGCAGGCCCGUCUUAAGGCCACUGGCAAAUUUGCUGGUCAGUGCCUGCCAGAGGACCACAAAACUCUUUUGUAACCUAUUGUCUGAUUAUUUGUAAAAUUAUUAAAACUUUCAACAACGGAUCUCUUGGUUCUGGCAUCGAUGAAGAACGCAGCGAAAUGCGAUAAGUAAUGUGAAUUGCAGAAUUCAGUGAAUCAUCGAAUCUUUGAACGCACAUUGCACCUCUUGGUAUUCCAGGAGGUAUGCCUGUUCGAGCGUCAUUGAGANCAACAAGCCUAAGCUUGNNAUUGNAUGUCAUCAUAUAGGUGCACCUUAAAAUUAGGAGCAGUGCUCCCAGCUUCAAGCGCAGUAAUUUUCUCGCUUCUGGAGUCUGGAUAGUUACUGUCUGAACCCCUAAACUAUCACAGUUUGNCCUNGGAUCAGGUNGGGAUACCCGCUGAACUUAAGCAUAUCAAUAAGCGGAGGAAAAGAANNCANCAGGGAUUGCCUUAGUAACGGCGAGUGAANCGGCANCAGCUCAAAUUUGAAAUCUGGNNUUUUGGUCCGAAUUGUAAUUUGUAGAGGAUGCUUCGAGCAUAGUCUAGUCUAAGUUCCUUGGAACAGGACGUCAUAGAGGGUGAGAAUCCCGUAUGCGACUGGGUGCUUAAGCUCAUGUGAAGCUCCUUCGACGAGUCGAGUUGUUUGGGAAUGCAGCUCAAAAUGGGUGGUAAAUUUCAUCUAAAGCUAAAUACUGGCCAGAGACCGAUAGCGCACAAGUAGAGUGAUCGAAAGAUGAAAAGCACUUUGGAAAGAGAGUUAAACAGUACGUGAAAUUGUUGAAAGGGAAGCGCUUGCAACCAGACUUGCAUGCAAUUGAUCAUCCGAUGUUCUCACCGGUGCACUUAAUUGUAUUCAGGCCAGCAUUGGUUUUGGUGGUUAGAUAAAGGCCCUAGGAAUGUGGCUUCCUUCGGGGAGUGUUAUAGCCUAGGGUGUAAUGUAGCCUACCAGGACCGAGGACCGCGCUUCGGCUAGGAUGCUGGCGUAAUGGUUGUAAGCGACC